AACGAACGCUGGCGGCAUGCCUUACACAUGCAAGUCGAACGGUAACAGGUCUUCGGAUGCUGACGAGUGGCGAACGGGUGAGUAAUACAUCGGAACGUGCCCGAGAGUGGGGGAUAACGAGGCGAAAGCUUUGCUAAUACCGCAUACGAUCGCAGGAUGAAAGCAGGGGACCGCAAGGCCUUGCGCUCACGCAGCGGCCGAUGGCAGAUUAGGUAGUUGGUGGGAUAAAAGCUUACCAAGCCGACGAUCUGUAGCUGGUCUGAGAGGACGACCAGCCACACUGGGACUGAGACACGGCCCAGACUCCUACGGGAGGCAGCAGUGGGGAAUUUUGGACAAUGGGCGCAAGCCUGAUCCAGCCAUGCCGCGUGCAGGAUGAAGGCCUUCGGGUUGUAAACUGCUUUUGUACGGAACGAAAAGACUCUGGUUAAUACCUGGGGUCCAUGACGGUACCGUAAGAAUAAGCACCGGCUAACUACGUGCCAGCCGCCGCAGUAAGAC
rnacentral:rRNA from 1 species